CGGUGCCUGGCGCUGAGCCCGGAAGUGAGCUCCGCAAGGGCACGGCUUGCCCUCCAGCUGGCGCAGGUCUUGAGGGGCGUUACCCCGGGGUAUCUCGGGGUUCCAAGGCAGGAAGACUGGCGUCCGAGAAGCAGAUACGAUGAGGAGGAAGAGGCUGAAAUGGGGUCUGCUGCAGUCACGGGACAGCAGGUGCUGGAAGCCAGAAAAGACGAAGAAACCAGCUGUCCCCAAGAAACAUGGCCGGGGCCAUCUGUAUUAUCAGUACUAUCGUGGAGGCAUUUUUGCUGGGUUGUUUACCGCCAUACUUCUGCCUGCAGAGGAAUCCCCGGCACACGGAAGAGUCCCCAGCGAGCUAUGCACCCGCCGCAUACGUGAAGAAAAGCAGGAAAGCGGCUCGGUGUGAGUUUCCAGCCUGCCCGGGAGGACUCUUCCCUCCGUGAGUUUCUACAGCUCAUUGUAUCUCCGGGCUGCACAGGCUGAAACUCCAGAGAGCGUUAAUGAUGUGCCUGGCGCCCCGGGGAGAUGCCCUGAACUUUCCAUGCGAGCUCUGGACUUGGCUGCUUCCGACUCCUCGUCCUGCUUAGGAAAACCCGAGGGCAAGGAAGGGAAAAAGUGAACACUUCACACAUUCAUCUUCAAAGCACUUAAUAAACGUUCAAGUAAUUAA